GCCAGAAGCUUCGAGAUGCCUGGUGCUCCUUGGGCUCCGCGGUGCCACCCGGGCCUGUCUCACCAGCGUCGCCUUCUUUCCUGUAGAUGCGCGUCGUGUCUACAAAGGGGUCCCUCCACAGGUGCGGGGUCAGCUGUGGGCCCUCCUGCUCGAUAUCAAGACGGUGAAGGCCACCAACCAAGGGGUAUACAAGGUAAGCCCCUUCCACCCCCAGCAGAGGCAUGGCCCUUGGAUGAGGCCUUGGCAGGAGCUCAGGGGAACCCGUGGGGAGGGAGGGGUGAGGUCAUGUGUCUCGGGGACCCGGGGCGGCCCCAGCACUCUCCUGGUGCCUCUCAGUCCCGAGGGUCCCGCCAUCUCCCUGCUGCCCCCGCCUCAGUCCCGUGGGCCCCAGAGCAGGGCAGGCGUGGGGUCAGAGACAGGCAGGGCUGUGGGGCUCUGUCCUCCUCCUGGGAGGGUUUAGCAUCAGGGUGACGGUAGCCGGCACCCUGGACAGGCCCGGGGCCCCACAGCAGCCCUCCCAGUCCCAGAACCUGGGGUGGGGGCCGGCCAGGUGGGCCGGUGCCAGGUUUCUGCUUGGGCCGCAGAAGGAGCUCAUGGAUGCGAAGGGGAGGAGAGCCAGCCUCUGCCCUGCCCCGCCUGGGGGGCUGCAGGGCUCCAGGGGGCAUCAGGAGCACAGGCCCAGGGACCCUCCCUGUGUCCCCGAGUGCCCUGAGAUGGGUCUGGGCCCUGGGAGCACGUUCCAGGGAGCAGCCUCUGCGGGGACACGCUCAGUCCCCAGGCUGGCGCUCAGUCCUGGAGGACGGGCCCCUGUGUGGGGGAGGGGAGGAGCCUCGGACUGACCAUCGGGAGUGCCCUCCCUGCCCAGGGCUGCAGAGCCCGAGCCCCGACGCGGGCAUCACGGCACGGUGGGCACUGGGGCAGGGCCCCGGCUUCAGAGACAAGGGACGCAAGGACACACGACGCAGCGGCCAGCAGCGCUCCCUGCUGAGGGCAGUUGGGGGCAGUUAGGGUUCCAUGGCCCUGACGCGGCCCCUCCCCCCCGGUUCUGCCCACAGAAAAUGAAGGAGCAGGCCCAGCUCUUCUCCAAGGACAUCCGGCAAAUUGAUCUGGACGUGAACCGGACCUUCCGGAACCAUGUCAUGUUCUGGGACCGCUAUGGCAUCAGGCAGCGAGCCCUGUUCCACGUGCUCUCGGCAUUUUCCAUCUACAACACCGCUUCUUCGUUCCAGGAUUCCCCAAAUUGCUGAGGUUUCAGGCCCAUCACGACCUCA